GCAUUUGCUAAUAAGGUGGUGAGGAAGAGGAAAAUGAGAAUAUACUAUAGUACGCAGCAUUUUAUCAACAUAUAAGUUACUGUGGCAACUCCAAAGAAUGAAUCAACAGGUGAAAGUCACUUUCUUUGUCAUUUAUGACUUUCUAGAUAAUCCAUAAUUAAGUGUCAUAUAAGUUUAUUCUUUUGAAUUGACAUAUCCAAUUCUUUUCCAAAUACACUAGUUAAAUCAAGAAAAUUUUGGAUAUAUUAAUUAGUAAAUUGAUAAUAAUUGUAAUUUUACAUUCACACUUUAAAUUAGUACCUGAUGAAGAGGUAUUGAUAGUAUGUUUUUAUGAUAUUUGAUUUAGGGCGCUGUGUAAAGAUUGUAAAGUCAUCCCGAGUGAGAACCUUUCGACCCAACAUAGGCUCUUGGUUAUGGAUUUGGGUAUGAAGAAGAAUAAAAAGAGGAGGAGUAAGGAGUGUAGACCGAGAAUUAAGUGGGGCGGUUUGACGCCAGUGAAUGCGUGGGAGAUAGGGGAGAGGUUGGCGGGAAUGGGGGUGUGGGAGUGUAGGGGGGACGUGGAUAAUAUGUGGGACAGGGCGGCAGCGUGCAUCAGGGAAAAUGCAAGGGAGGUGUUGGGUGUUUCUAGGGGCCGGGCCGGACAUCAUCGGGGGGAUUGGUGGUGGAAUGAAGAGGUGGGGAAGAAAGUGGAGACCAAGAAAGAGUCGUAUGCUAAGUUGGUGGAAAGUAAGGACGAAGAAGAGAAGCGGGUAAACAGGAAAGAGUACAAGCUAGCAAGGAAGGAGGCGAAGUCAGCGGUCACGGCAGCUAAGACGGCUGCUUUUGAGAGCUUGUAUGCAGGGUUACAGGGGAAAGGAGGGGAGAAAAAGUUGUUCCGACUCGCUAAGGCUAGGGAGAGGAAGGGUCGUGACCUCGAUCAGGUGCGGUGCAUUAAGGGGGAGGACGGUAGAGUGUUGGUGGAGGACGGCCACAUAAAGAAGAGAUGGCAGUCGUACUUUCAUAGGCUCUUGAAUGACGAGGGGGACAGAGCUAUUGUGUUAGGGGAACUGGAGCACUCAGGGGAGUGUCGGGAUUUUAGCUAUUGUAGACGUUUUAAGGUAGACGAGGUUAGACAGGCAGUCCGCAGGAUGCGAAGGGGUAGGGCGACGGGGCCGGAUGAGAUACCGGUGGAGUUUUGGAAGUUCGUUGGAGAGGCUGGUGUAAGGUGGUUGACUGCAUUGUUCAAUGAAAUUUUCAGGACAGCAAAGAUGCCCGAGGCGUGGAGGUGGAGUACCAUGAUCCCCCUCUAUAAGAAUAAGGGGGACAUUCAGUGUUGCAAUAACUAUAGGGGGAUUAAGUUACUGAGUCACUCUAUGAAGAUCUGGGAGAGAGUGGUCGAGGUGAGGCUGAGACGGAUAGUGUCUAUCUCGGAAAACCAGUUCGGAUUUAUGCCCGGCCGCUCGACGACGGAGGCAAUUCACCUGGUACGGCGGUUGGUGGAGCAAUAUAGGGAAAGGAAGAAGGAUUUGCACAUGGUGUUCAUCGACCUAGAAAAGGCGUACGACAAAGUCCCCAGGGAGGUGCUUUGGAGAUGCUUGGAGGUGAGUGGAGUACCGCAGGCAUAUAGCAGAGUAAUUAAGGAUAUGUAUGAGGGAGCGAAAACCCAGGUGAGGACGGCGGGAGGAGACUCAGAGCAUUUCACUGUCCUGACAGGAUUGCAUCAGGGAUCUACUCUUAGUCCCUUUUUGUUUGCGCUAGUAAUGGAUGUGUUAACGCGGCGUAUCCAAGGGGAGGUGCCGUGGUGUAUGCUUUUUGCAGACGAUGUAGUCCUGAUAGAUGAGACGCGAGGGGGUGUGAACGACAAAUUAGAGCUGUGGAGGCAAACUCUGGAGUCUAAAGGGUUCAGGGUGAGCAGAACCAAGACAGAGUAUGUGGAAUGUAAGUUUAAUGACGUAAGGCGAGAGAAUGAGGUAGUGGUGAGGCUAGAAGCGCAGGAGGUAAAGAAAAGGGAUAAGUUCAAGUACCUCGGGUCCGUGAUCCAGAGUAACGGUGAGAUUGACGAGGAUGUCUCGCACCGUAUCGGGGCGGGAUGGAUGAAGUGGAAACUUGCAUCGGGGGUGCUGUGUGAUAAGAAGGUGCCGCCCAAGCUUAAAGGUAAAUUCUAUAGGGUGGUAGUCCGUCCGGCCUUGCUGUAUGGAGCGGAGUGUUGGCCAGUUAAGAACUCCCACACCCAAAGAAUGAAGGUGGCAGAAAUGCGGAUGUUGCGCUGGAUGUGUGGACUGACCCGAAGGGAUAGAGCUCGGAAUGAGACUAUCCGGGAGAAGGUUGGGGUGACUUCAGUGGAGUGUAAGAUGCGGGAAGCACGAUUGAGAUGGUUCGGACACGUGAAGAGGAGGGGCAUGGAUGCCCCGGUCCGUAGGUGUGAGAGGCUAGCGUUGGAUGGUUUUAGACGGGGUAGGGGUAGACCGAAGAAGUACUGGGGUGAGGUGAUUAGGCGGGACAUGGAACAGUUACAGCUUACCGAGGACAUGACCCUAGAUAGGAAGGUCUGGAAGACGCGAAUUACGGCAGAGGAUUAGGGCCUGUUCGGGUCGCUAAUGUAGGGAGGUAAUUGGUGGGGGUGUAUUCCUGGUAUGAUUCCGUAUUCAAUGUUCUGUUCCGUGUUCCGUGUUCUAUGUUUGUUACGAAUCUGUGUGCUUUCCUCUGCUUUAUAUUCCUGCUUUCCUGCUUUACUCUGUUUUAUAUUCCUUAUGGCUGCAGUAUCUAUGUUAUGUCAUCUGCUUCUGUGCUGUACUAUGUGUUUGUUUGAUAUCUCGUAACUUGAGCCGGGGGUCUUUCGGAAACAGCCUUUCUACUUCAUCAGAGGUAGAGGUAUGGACUGCGUACAUCUUACCCCCCCAGACCCCACAAAGUGGGAAUACACUGGGUUUGUUGUUGAUUUAGUAUAUUUAGCAUUCAAUUGAUGAUCUAAACGCACAGGACUUUUCUUUGUAUUUGUUAAUCAUCAACAUUUAACGAAUUAUUAAUUGAUUAUUUAAUUAUCAAAGUAUUAUGUUAAAUUUAUAGUGAUGUUCCUUAUUUGAAGCAAAUUGAAGAUAUUAUAAAUUUAUAACUAAUUUAAAUAUAACAUUUUUAAAAUAAAAGAAAUCAAAAGUAUUUUCUUAAUAUAUAUAUUAAAAUCAAAAUUUAUCGACAAUUAAGGGAUUAAUCGUGCAAUUAUCCCUGAGUGAGUUAUGACUACUGAGUACGUUUAUGGAUAAUUCAGAAUCGAAAAAUGAAAUUAGGGUUGUGAGGUCGUGAGGCGCCGCUGAUAUAGAAUUGUGAAGUGAAUAUUGAAUAAUGAAUUAGGGUUGAGGUGUUAUAACUUAUAUUCCCGUGUCAUUUUAUAUAUCAUAGUUUGACUGGACAAGAAGUUUACCAAAUAAGAAAAGACUUGAUGUUGUUUAUCGAAUUGUCCUUUAUUAAAAAAAAAUGUAUUAUUACUAUUUUUAAUUAAGUGGAACCUUAUAUGUGAAACCAAUAAGGAUAAAAGUGAAAUUGUGUUUUAAAAUUGUUACCAACAAAGAAAAGAUUACAUUCUUUUUGGGACUGACAAAAAAGGAAAUGACAACGACUUGGGCCUAUUGUUGGGUUGUGUAUGUAUAUACUUUAAAUAUAAUAAAUAUUAAUAUAUUAUUUAUAUAAUUUCGAUUUAAUCGAAUUAUUUUUUUGAAAAAUUCAAAAAUCAAAUCAUUUAAUUAAAUUUCUAAAAUUUGAAAUCGAAAUCGAAAAAUCAAAACUAAGUUACUGCAGCAUAAGCUAAGUUUUAAGAACCCAAAACAAAUAAGAUGAAGAUACUGCAGUCAUUUAGACCAGUAGCAUUAGCAGCCGCUUAUGAUGGUAAAGGAGAUUAUCCCUUUAUGAUGUGAAAUUGAGAGAUCAACUUGAUUAGCAAAGGUGGUGGCUGCAUCAUUUAUUUGACCAAGUGUAGAAAGAAACAUAUGUAAAAAGAAAUAAUUUAGUUUUAAGAAAUUGCAGAUGUAUUUGUCCUGAUGACAAAUUAGUAGAAAGGAGUUUGGAAAUGACAAGUGGAUAGUGCUAGUCAAAGAUAGCUUGGACCUCUGAAAUUUAGCUAGAAUAUCACCCUGAUUUGAGCUUGCUCAAGUGGUUGAGUACAUCCACCAUUGACCGAUAGGUUGUUGGUUCGAGUCACGGUGGAGGGUAAGUAGGAAUAUUGUUGAUCCUCCUAAAAAAGAGAACAAAAGAAAAGUUUUAUUAAACUUGAGUUUGAAGCACACGUAACAAAUAUUGUUGGAAGGUGAUUGCAUUGUGGUGAACGUAUUGAAUUUUCUGCUAUUUGAAAAAAUAUUUAAAAUUUCCAAUUUGUAACAUCUAUGUACUGAUGUCUGGUAUUAGCCAACUGAGGUAAAGCAUUGGCUGAAUGAAGAUCCUGAUGGUUCAUUUGUAUGUUCUUGACAAAUUACUGUUCCAUAAAUCAUAUUUGGACAAAAUGAGAACCUUACUUAAACAUAAAUUGUCUGGUAAACUUAGUUCCAAAAUUGAUGUCAGAGUGAGGUCUUGUACAUGAAGAAUGAAGGGACUCUCACAAUUGAUAUUAGAGUGUGUUAUAAGAAAACAACUACUACUAGUUAUAUAGUUGUGUAUUUAAAAAGUGCAAAUUCACAGGUUGUGCAGAUUAGAGUUUUGAGGGUAUGCUCUGAUUAGCUGUCUCAUUUACCAUAAUCUUCAUGAGUUCAUUUUUAAUUUGUCCAUGUAAUUUGCGUCCUUGAUAUCUUCUGCAGAAAUGAAGUCAAGGAAAUCACCGAAGCUUCCUUCUUUGUUGGACAAGAUAUGUUGAUUGACAAGCUUUGAUGCAGGUUUAACUUUUUUACCUAAAGCUAGACUAUGAAGGCUGGCAAUCGAAAUGCGCUUUUUUUGUGUGUGAACUGUUGCUCGGUGGAGAACGCUUUUGUAUAUCCCAUUGCUCAAUACUUUCCAUGUGAUCUCCCAGCAGAAAAACGAG
rnacentral:lncRNA from 1 species